rnacentral:rRNA from 1 species
GGGGAAUUUUCCGCAAUGGGCGCAAGCCUGACGGAGCAACGCCGCGUGAGGGAUGAAGGCCUCUGGGCUGUAAACCUCUUUUCUCAAGGAAGAAGAUCUGACGGUACUUGAGGAAUAAGCCACGGCUAAUUCCGUGCCAGCAGCCGCGGUAAUACGGGAGUGGCAAGCGUUAUCCGGAAUUAUUGGGCGUAAAGCGNNNNNNGGUGGUUUGUCAAGUCUGCUGUCAAAGCGUGGAGCUUAACUCCACACAGGCAGUGGAAACUGAUGAGCUAGAGUUCGGUAGGGGUAGCGGGAAUUCCCAGUGUAGCGGUGAAAUGCGUAGAUAUUGGGAAGAACACCGGCGGCGAAAGCGCGCUACUGGGCCGAGACUGACACUGAGGGACGAAAGCUAGGGGAGCGAAAGGGAUUAGAUACCCCAGUAGUC